UACGUAGGUGGCAAGCGUUGUCCGGAAUUAUUGGGCUUAAAGCGCGCGCAGGCGGCCUCUUAAGUCUGAUGUGAAAGCCCCCGGCUCAACCGGGGAGGGCCAUUGGAAACUGGGAGGCUUGAGUAUAGGAGAGAAGAGUGGAAUUCCACGUGUAGCGGUGAAAUGCGUAGAGAUGUGGAGGAACACCAGUGGCGAAGGCGACUCUUUGGCCUAUAACUGACGCUGAGGCGCGAAAGCGUGGGGAGCAAACAGG
rnacentral:rRNA from 1 species